UCAACGUGGUGUUUAGAGUUCGAUCCUC
rnacentral:sRNA from 1 species